GACGAACGCUGGCGGCGUGCUUAACACAUGCAAGUCGAACGGAAAGGCCCUUCGGGGUACUCGAGUGGCGAACGGGUGAGUAACACGUGGGUGAUCUGCCCUGCACUUUGGGAUAAGCUUGGGAAACUGGGUCUAAUACCGAAUAGGACCACGCGCUUCAUGGUGUGUGGUGGAAAGCUUUUGCGGUGUGGGAUGGGCCCGCGGCCUAUCAGCUUGUUGGUGGGGUAAUGGCCUACCAAGGCGACGACGGGUAGCCGGCCUGAGAGGGUGACCGGCCACACUGGGACUGAGAUACGGCCCAGACUCCUACGGGAGGCAGCAGUGGGGAAUAUUGCACAAUGGGCGCAAGCCUGAUGCAGCGACGCCGCGUGAGGGAUGACGGCCUUCGGGUUGUAAACCUCUUUCAAUAGGGACGAAGCGCAAGUGACGGUACCUAUAGAAGAAGCACCGACCAACUACGUG
rnacentral:rRNA from 1 species